GGGGUCGUAGUCAAGCCAGGCAUGACGACGGGCUCCAGACUCUUGGGUAAAGGCCGAGGGUUCAAAUCCUUCCGACCCCACCA
rnacentral:tRNA from 1 species